rnacentral:lncRNA from 1 species
ACCGUUUUUUUUAAAAAAUAUUUAAUUUUUCCUUUUAAAAAUAUUUCAGACUCUAAAACCAAGUCCGCACCAGAGAUUCAGGUAAGGGGGUUCAUUUGACUCGGGGAGAAGGUGUUAUGCACUCUCCAAGUUCUGUGAAGGUCACGGUUGCAUACUCGAUCUAGUUUGCUUUUUAGAACAUUCAAAUUGAGGCAAAAUCGGAGAAAAGCAAAGCAAACACACAUGAAGCUCGAGGUCGUCCCCACCUAAUAAAAUAAAAUAAAACAAAAUGAAAUUAGUCUUGAUAGCCUAUACUACGCCUCCG